CAGGAUGGUCUCGAUCUCCUGACCUCGUGAUCUGCCCACCUUGGCCUCCCAAAGUGCUGGGAUUACAGGCAUGAGCCAUCACGCCCAGCCAAAAGGAAAUUUUUAAAAGUGGCAAAUGGAUUAUGAACAUCUUAUUCAGAAAUAAAGGUAAAGAACAGCUAAAAAGGCAAAAGCAGUUGGCUUCUGGGGAAGGUGGGGCAGGGGACUUUUUGAAGCCUUAAUAUUUGCUUUGUUAAACCAUGUUCUUGCAUUAUUAAGUUUUUUCAUGCUAACAACUCUAUUUUGUCAAGCCAGAUUAUGAUGGCUUAACAUGAGUGAACCUUCCAGCUUCUCAUCAGAUGCAAAUCUGACAGGAAUAGGGACUUGUGUUACUUUAUGGCAGGUAAAUAGCACCCUUGAGAUACAAAAUUGGGAUGGUUUCGGGCCUGGUGGUGCCUGUCUGUAGUCUCAGCUACUAGGGAGGCUGAGGUGCAAAGAUUGAGCGCAGGAGUUCCAAGGCCAGCCUGGCCAACGUAGUGAGACCUGACCUGUCUGAAACAUAUACCCGCCCACCCCCACCCCCACCAAAACAGGGAUGGUUCUUCCUGUCCCCUUAAGGAGACAUGACACCAAAGGAGAAAGUACUUGGAUAGUGAUGAGUGAAUUGAGCAUUUUAUUACUGCUUUCAUUUUUGUUUUGUCACAGCUAACAGGGAGGUUGAGUACUCUGUCCACUGGGGGCUGGUGCUUCCAUUGAGGGUUGUGUGUGCCUGCUGAUUUCUUUGAGUUCCUCUAUCCAACAUCAGAAUUGUUUGUAUUCAGAUAUGCGACAAGAUGGGACUUCUGAGUUUCACAGUGUAAGGAAGAUUGACACCUAACCGAGUUUGGGGCUUCCUUUGUACAGUUGACCAUUGAACAACAAGGGUUUGAACUGUUGUGCAGUUUCACUUAUACAUGGACUUAUAGAUGGAUUUUCUUCUGCCUCUGCUGCCCUGAGACAGCCAGACCAACCCCUCCUCCUACUUUUCCUCAGCCUAUUCAACAUAAAUACUAUCGGGAUGAACACCUUUAUGAUGAUUCACUUCUUAAUUUUUUUUUUUUUUUUUUUGAGAGGGAGUCUUGCUCUGUCACCCAGGCUGGAGUGCUGUGAUGGGAUCUCGGCUCACUGCAACCUCUGCCUCUUGGGUCCAAGCAAAUCUCCUGUCUCAGCCUUCUGAGUAGCUGGAACUGUAGACACACGCCAACCAUGCCCAGAGACAGAGUUUCACCAUGUUGGCCAGGCUGGUCUCAAACUGCUGACCUCAGGCGAUCCACCACCUUGGCCGCCCAAAGUGCUGGGAUUACAGGUACAGUCGUGAGCCACUGUGCCCAGUCUGACAAUGUACUUUUGAUAACUGAUGGUUACAAUGUUCCCAUCGCUGCAAUCAAAAUACAGAACAUUU